AGUACUGAAGCAGUGUAAAAAUCAGUUGUCCUCAGUUGCAACACUCACUACCGAGUAACAACCUGCCUCGCAGUAACGUCGGUACAAUAACUGUUCAUCGGGAGCUUCGUGAAAUGGGUUUCCAUGAGAUGUUCGACCAGCAGUUGUCUUACAUACUUUUUGUCAUGUAGUGUGUAUCGUUUUUGUACCACACGGUGGAGCCAGAAAUCAUCAAGGCUAUAUUACUCUGCCAAGAAAGGGCAAUUCCAUGGCAAGUUUGUUCCAGUUAUGCUCCGAAAAGCUAUUUUCUUUUGUGAAUCUUCAGGAGAAAAUAAUACAACCGUUUGUUUGAGGGUCCAUCACCCCACAGCAUUUCACCCACCGGCCAAACGGUGUCUGCCCAACUGCAUUGGUCCGUCGAUUUUUGCUAAAUAUCACAACGAUACCAUCGUUCUGUUUCUCUAUUUAGCUAACCGGCAACAUCAGCGAUACUUCAAUGCCUCAAGUGGCUAUCGCGCGGAACACCAUUAACGUUAGUUGACAGUUGCACUUUGUGACAAGCUGUCUGCUCUCCUGAGGUAGACCACUGAUGGAGCAGCAGCCAAUAGGCUCUGGGGACAGUCUUCGUCAUGUUUCCGUGUGUUUCCUCCUGGCCCUCUGCUGAGCCCCCAUCACCCUGUGGCCAUGCCCCCCAGCCCACACACACUCACACACAGCCCCUGCUGUGCAGCGGCCCUGCCCCAACAAUGAACCCUCACCCCCACCCUGUUCCAGACUACACGGAGUCCCUCAUCGUGGUGACCGAGUACGAGCCCAAGGGAGGUGAGGAGGUGGAGGACAUGGACAGCUCCGAGACCCCUGAGCCUGGCGCACCCCUCUUCAGAACCCCCUCCUGCGACCAGCUGUCCCAUGCUGUGGGCCGCCCCGUGGCCCUGUUCCCCAAGCCCCAGGAGCACCGGGGAAGACUAAACCUGUCGGACAGGAAGCUGUCCCUGCAGGAGCGCUCCCAGACGGCCUCGUCUCCCUGUGGCUCCCCAGGGCUUAACGGCCACUUCAUCUACCCCUCGCUGCCCUACUCGCCCAUCACCUCGCCCCACUCCUCCCCCCGGCUGCCCCGUAGACCCACCGUGGAGUCUCACCGCGUCUCCAUCACUGACCUGCAGGACUGCGUGCAGCUCAACCAGUACAAGCUCAAAGAUGAAAUCGGAAAGGGCUCAUAUGGUGUUGUCAAGCUGGCCUACAAUGAAGACGACAACACCUACUAUGCAAUGAAAGUGCUGUCCAAGAAGAGGUUGAUGAGGCAGGCAGGUUUCCCACGGAGACCGCCCCCCCGCGGCGCCAAAGCAGCCCCUGAAGGCCCCCCUCAGCCCAAAGGACCCCUGGAACGGGUCUACCAGGAGAUUGCCAUCCUGAAAAAGCUGGACCAUCCCAAUGUAGUGAAACUGGUAGAGGUUCUGGAUGACCCUGGUGAGGACCAUCUGUACAUGGUGUUUGAGUUGGUCAAACAGGGGGCUGUGAUGGAAGAGAUGCCCACAGACAAGCCGCUGAAUGAAGACCAGGCACGGUUCUACUUCCAAGACCUGCUCAGGGGGAUUGAGUUCUUGCAUUACCAGAGGAUCAUCCACCGGGACAUCAAGCCCUCUAACCUCCUAGUUGGGGAGGACGGUCAUAUUAAGAUCGCUGACUUUGGGGUCAGUAACCAGUUUGAAGGGGCAGAUGCCCUUCUGACCAGCACGGUGGGCACGCCCGCCUUCCUCGCCCCAGAGACCCUCUCCGAGACCAGGAAAAACUUCUCUGGCAAGGCAUUGGAUAUUUGGGCCAUGGGAGUGACGCUCUAUUGUUUCGUGUUUGGAGUGUGUCCCUUUAUGGAUGAACGCAUCCUUAGUCUUCAUCAGAAGAUCAAGACCCAGCCAGUGGAGCUGCCAGAGCAUGCAGACAUAUCUGACGAUCUGAAAGAUCUGCUACUGAAGAUGCUGGACAAGAAUCCAGAGAGCAGGAUAUCAAUACCACAGAUUAAGGUGCACCCAUGGGUGACGAGGCACGGAGCGGAACCCCUCCCUCUGGAGGAUGAUAACUGCUCCAUGCUGAUUGAGGUGACCGAGGAGGAGGUGGAGAACUCUGUCAAACACAUCCCCAGUCUGGCCACUGUGAUCCUGGUGAGGACCAUGCUGAGGAAGCGCUCCUUUGGGAACCCCUUUGACUGGGGCCGUCAGAGGACUGAGGACAGAGGCACCAGUCUGUCUGCACCGGGGCACAUGCUCACAAUUCCUGGUUGGAAGAUUCUGGAUUGUCUGCUUUUUCUGGAAAACCUGGGAAUUUAGGGAAAGUUAGCAGAAUUUUGCAACUCUAAAAGCAGCAGGGUUGGGGUCAAAACUAAAAUUCCAAUUCCUCAUUGAAAAGCAUUGAAGAGAAUUGGAAUUUCAAUGUACUUCUUGAAUGGACUGGAAUUGAAAAGGAAUUCCCCCGAACUCUGAGAAGCAGUUGGUGGUUUUUAAUAAAUUUCAUAUAACUCUGGAGAAGCUCUGCUACGGGCUUUUUUGUACAUGGGCAACAUUCCUAACUAAUCUGAUCUUGCAAAAUGAUGCUCCUUUUUAUUCUCAUUCAAUAAAAGUAGGAUGUCACAUAGAGAGUGUUAAGAUUUCUUCUCUCCCUGCGUGACCAAUGAUAUGCUUGCCAGCACUUGCUGUGGCAGCCUCUUAAUCUGUCUCCCCUCUCUCCUGCCCACCAGCAAAGGGAGAGCGGCCAAUGUGAGAUACUGCUACAUUCAUAGUAACCAAAGAAGGAAACAAGAGAGCAUGGAGGGCAUGAGAAGUAUGGACCUGCCCUUCGUGGGAGAAGAUGAGGCUCUUUCCUGAUGCCAUGUGGUUUUUAAGCGCAAAGGUUGGGGCAUGCUAGUGACUCGACUUGCAGUCCGCCCUCAAGCCCACCCUUCACUCACUGCUAUGUUAUGUUGUGGCAGCCACCAAUGUUUUUGUUUUUUUAGGUGGACGGGACUGUUGGAUGAACUCCAUGACUUGUAUAGAGACGUGACUGGAGCCUGGACACCCUUCUGGGGGAAGCUCCCUUAUUGUCACUCACUAACCCCUGUCUGUAAUGCAUGCUUAUGUUUCUAGUCAUAGCAUGCUCUGUCUCAGGCCUCUGAUGUACAGGUCUGUUUGCCUAGGUACCUGUGUUUCUCCACCAUUUGAAAAGACUCACGUUUAAUGCAGAGGUAUGUGGGAGGGGGUGUUUAUGGAUGGUUGUAUAUUUCAAAGGGUGACUCCUGGUCCCCACAUUUCAGCAGAGCAGAGUACUUGACUAUGUUUGUCUGUACCACUCAUCAAUGUAGACAGUUUAGGAACAUUCAUGUUUUCAGUGGAAACCUGUAUAGGAGAGGUUUAUUGAGAUGAAAAAGGUUUACUACAUUCAUAGUAUGCAUGUGUGUCUGUUGAUUUCUCAAUGCAAACAUUGUAGAAGCGACACAAGUUGCACAUUAAUAGAAUUAGUUGUUGCUGAACAAUCUAUUUGUUUUAUUUAUUAAGUCCUCACAAAUGAUUCAUUGUAAACUGUCUCCCAGUUACGACAACUGGUGAAGAGCUUUUAAAAACGUAAUGUAACUAAAUGUUUCUAAUAUAUGUGUUUAGCAAAGGGAGUGAUACAGUGUUGAAGCUGGAAUCAAAAUCACGUUUGUUUCUUUUUGUAUGGUAAUAGAUUUACAGAUCUCAUUUUCAGAACACCAAAAAGAAAAUGGUUAUCAUAUUUUGUAAAGUAAUAUCAUUCAUAGAGAAACAAACACCUUUUAAACAAGUGCAUUGCAAUGUCAUUGUGAAAUUGUAUCAAUUACUGGCUCUUACAAAUGAAUUUUAAUACCAGGCGUAUAGCCUAGUGCGGCUGCAGACCUCUUGUACAAUCUAUGCAUGACAUAUCCCUUAUGGAAAUGUUGGAAUUAGUUUGACAUGGAUAAAGUUGUCAUCAGAUAUGGUAAGAUACAAAUGAGAUGGUAGAACUUCGACAUUGCCAGUAGAGUGCAAUCUUUUUAAAUUCUCAGCUUUUUCUCCAUUUUUAGAUGAGCCCAAAGUGGUGGAAUAAUCUCCCCAGUUCUCUAGUGGCAUGUGUUUUUAACAUCUUGCCCUUUUUGCAUAUAGUUAGACAAUGUUGGUGUACAGAUCACUUCAGUCACUGAACAGGUUUAUGAUUCCACGUGUUAUUAUUGAAACAACAUUAAUUCAACAAUGAAUGCUUCCACAUAGUGAUUAUUUCAGCACCAAAGUGUCAUUUUCUUGCAUGUCACUGCUGUAUGUGAAAACACGGUAUGUUGUGUUUUUUAAGACUUACUAUGCACUCCGUCAGCCUGUCAUGUAUGCUGUGUUUAAUGGUGUCUGAGUGAGGAGGUCUCUGUAUAGCUGACCACUUAGUGUCUUCAGAAAGUAUUCAUACCUCUUCACUUGUUCCACAUUUUGUUGUGUUACAGCUGGAAUUUUUCUCACCCAUUUACACACAAAAUGUACGCAAAUGUAUUGAAAAUUAAGUACAGAAAUAGCUCAUUUACAUAAAUAUUCACACCCUUCAGUCAAUGCAUGUUAGAAUCACCUUUGGCAGUGAUUACAACUGAGUCUUUCUGGGUAAGCAUCUACGAGCUUUGUACACCUGGAUUGUAGUAUUGGCCCAUUAUUCUUUACAAAAAUGUUCAAGCUCUGUCAUAUUGGUUGUUGAUCAUUGCUAGACAACCAUUUUUAUGUUUUACCAUAGAUUUUCAAGCAGGUUUAAGCCACAACUGUAAACAUUCACUGUCUUGAUAAACAGCUCCAGGAUUGAUUCUCCAGGCUUUGUGUUUUAAGUUAUUGUCCUGCUGAAAGGUGAAUUCAUCUCCCAGUGUCUGGUGGAAAGUAGACUGAACCAGGUUUUCCUCUAGGAUUUUGCCUGUGCUUAGCACCAUUUCAUUCCUUUUUUUUAUGCUGAAAAACUCCAGUCCUUAACAAUUACAAGCAUACCCAUAACAUAAUGCAGCCACAACUAUGUUUGAAAGUAUGGAGAGUGGUACUCCGUAAUGUAUUGUAUUUGCCCAUAACAUAACACUUUGUAUUCUUGGCAAAAAUGUAAAUGCUUUGCCAUUUUUUUUGCAGUAUAACUUUAGUGCCUUGUUGCAAACAGGAUGCAUUUUUUGGAUUGUUUUUUAUUCUGUACAGGCUUCCUUCUUUUCACUCUGUCAAUUAGGUUAGUAUUGUGGAGUAACUACCAUGUUGUUGAUCCAUCCUCCGUUUUCACCUUUCACAGCCAUUAAACUCUGUUUUAAAGUCACCAUUGGUCUCAUGGUGAAAUCCCUGAAGGAUUUCCUUCCUAUCCUGCAACUGAGUUAGGAAGGACACCUGUAUCUGGUGACUGGCUGUAUGGAUACACCAUCUAAAGUAGAAUGAAUAACUUCACUAUGCUCAAAGGGAUAUUCAAUGUUUGCUUUUUUUCUUUUCUUUUUUUUACCCAUCUACCAAUAGGUGUUCUUUACAAGGCAUUGGAAAAUCUCCCUGGUCUUUGUGUUUGAAAUUCACUGCUCGACUGAGUGACCUUACAAUUAUCUGUAUGUGUGGGGUAUAGUGAUUAGGUAGUUAUUAAAAAUCUUGUUAAACACUAUUAUUGCACACAGUAUGAGUCCAUGCAACUUAUUUUGACUGACUUGUUAAGCUAAUUGUUACUCCUGAACUUUAGGCUUACCAUAACAAAGGGGUUGCAUACUUAUUGACUCAAAACAUUUCAGCUUUUCAUUUGAAAUUUAUUUGUAAAACUUUUGAAAAACAUAAUUCCACAUUGACAUUAUGGGUUAUUGGGUGUAGGUCAGUGACCAUAAAUCGCAAUCUAAUCCGUUUUAAAUUCAGGCGGUAACACAACAAAAUAUGGAAGAAGUAAGUACUUACUAUGAAUACUUUCUGAAGGAACUGUAGUAUAAAAGUACCUGUUUGUGAGAUAGCGAUCUAACCAUCUUGUCAAAUGUUCAGGGGGGCCCUUUUGAAAAUAAUGUAACAUUUAAAUUAUGAAUCAUUAUGAAUAAGAUACUGUUAAAAUAAAAAAAUACAAAUAUUCUAAUUCUGGAUGAACACAGUCAUGAUUCACAAUCAGGGGAGCAACUUUGGUUUUAGAAGUGGGGGUUACAUAUCUUUAUUUUUUUUAAAUCCAUGGAUAAACACUCCAAACGGCCUACCCAACUGCUCGAAGGUAUCCGCAUGGUCCUAAAGCACAGCACACUGCACCGCUGCCUCGUUUUGUAUCACAUUCCAAUGAUAAAAUGCAAAUUCAGAAUUUGGGGCUGACUUGUCCCAGUGAAGGUUGUGCCCUUGCUCACAAUUAAAAGUGUUCUCUUUUCUCUUUGUGUCAAAAUGUAUAGUACAAAAUAUGUUCUGAUAUAACCCACCAUCAUGGGUUUAAGUUAAACUGUUGAAAAUGGCGAAGACAAACCAUAUUUUAUCACCCCUCCACAUGAAAGUGCUCCCUUCUCCUAAGAACAACAUAUCAAAGAAGAGGUUGGGUUUGACUACAGGGUUAAAUGAAAUUCUACCCCCACAAUGCUGUAUGAUAUUUGUUUUUAUACAUAUAUUUAAUCUUCGCUUUUUGUUUCAUCACAAUCUGUGCCCUAUUUUAUAAGAAAGGGCUAGGAUUACAUUUACUGUCGAUAUCACACAAUGUCAUCCAUUGUAGUGAGACGUUGGGGCCUCUACCCAAAUGCAUGCCAACAUACUGUAAACAUACCAUUGAAUUGUUAUAGCAUGACAGAGCUUCUCACAAAACGGGAGCUCAUAAUGAAUUAUUCUAUUCAUCUUGCAUCCAGUUCUUUAUUUGAAUAAAUUGCAGUUGCCUUUCUGCAAUGUG